rnacentral:tRNA from 1 species
GGUGGGGUGGCAGAGCGGCCAUGCGUUCGCCUGCAGAUCGCAUGUCAGCAGUCAGCGGAUUUAUAGGGGUUCGAAUCCCCUCCCCACCU